UCUUAAUUACAUUGUUGCAUAAUGUCUAUUUUGCUAUGAGCACUCUGCACAGAGGGUUGUCCGGGGUGGGGUUGCUUGGCAAAGGUGAUUCAGGUACUUUCCUGCAGUCACCAGUAGAUGCAUUCUCCUGUCUGUCAGAGAUGAGAUCACUUGGUACUGUCUUUUUCUGAGGUCU